AGAGUUUGAUCCUGGCUCAGGAUGAACGCUAGCGGCAGGCUUAACACAUGCAAGUCGAGGGGUAACAGGGGAGCUUGCUUCCGCUGACGACCGGCGCACGGGUGCGUAACGCGUAUGCAACCUACCUUCUACAGGGGGAUAGUCAAUAGAAAUGUUGAAUAAUACCCCAUACGAUCUUAUUGUAUCAUUACAUAAAGAAGAAAGCUUCGGCGGUAGAAGAUGGGCAUGCGUCCUAUUAGUUAGUUGGUGAGGUAACGGCUCACCAAGACUACGAUAGGUAGGGGCCCUGAGAGGGGGAUCCCCCACACUGGUACUGAGACACGGACCAGACUCCUACGGGAGGCAGCAGUGAGGAAUAUUGGACAAUGGAGGCAACUCUGAUCCAGCCAUGCCGCGUGCAGGAAGACUGCCCUAUGGGUUGUAAACUGCUUUUAUACAGGAAGAAACCUACUUACGUGUAAGUAGCUGACGGUACUGUAAGAAUAAGGAUCGGCUAACUCCGUGCCAGCAGCCGCGGUAAUAAGGGCGAAUUC
rnacentral:rRNA from 1 species